rnacentral:rRNA from 1 species
UACGUAGGGGGGCUAGCGUUGUCCGGAUUUAUUGGGCGUAAAGCGCGUGUAGGCGGUGAUGCAUGUCGGGUGUGAAAGCCCCUCAGCUUAACUGAGGAAGUGCGCCCGAAACUGCAUCGCUAGAGUGUCGGAGGGGAAGGCGGAAUUCCCGGUGUAGCGGUGAAAUGCGCAGAUAUCAGGAGGAACACCGGUGGCGAAGGCGGAUCUCUGGGCCUUACCUGACGCUGAGGAGCGAAAGCAUGGGGAGCAAACAGG